GGGCUUAACACCUAUAUGACGGGUUGAUGGAUGCAGCAAACCACCAUGGCACAUGUAUACCUAUGUAACAAACCUGCACAUUCUGCACAUGUAUCGCAGAACUUAAAGUGGUUUUGAAAUAUCUCUUUACUUUAAAGUCUGGGCUACCUGGUCUGUUGUUGUUGCUAUUGCUCUUGUCAUUGUUAGUAAUGUUGUUAUAAUGCUAUCCAAGCCAAGCAAAGUACAUCUCUUCCUUAGAUUUUGUUGCUAGGCAAUAUUAUCAACUGUAGAAUAGCCUUGCAAAAUAGACUUUUUAACAUUAAGAAUUAGUUUUUCCGCCUUACAUAUAUUUAAUUAAUAUCACUGGCUAACUAUUAGUGGGGAACUGGAAAACCUUCCUUUCAGUUGCAUUUCUGUCACUAAUUUUGAGGCUCAUGGUGAGAGCAACAGUAACAAGCACACACAUUUAUUAGGUACUUACUCUUUGAGUUCCCAACAUGGUACUAAGUGCUUUACUUGC
rnacentral:lncRNA from 1 species